UGUUAAAAAUCCAACUAUUUGUACUGUUAAAAACUAGUGUGGCUAAUGAAAUAAACUGAAAGUCACAUGUUUACCUUAUGCUGACGUACAAGGACCAGUUUUUACCAGUAGAAUUAGAUGAAAAUUUUAACU
rfam:Gossypium arboreum cultivar AKA8401 contig_18886_3, whole genome shotgun sequence.